UAACAAGCAAACAUUCUGUUGCCAACAGUACCCAUUUGUCAUCCUAUCCAAGCAACUAAUAUUCCUUGGUAUUCUGCUAUCAGAUGAUUACAGUUUUCUCUUUGGCAUUUUUAUGAAUUAAAGCUUUCAAAGCCAAACCUUAGAUUUGGUUAGCAUAGCCCUGAACUGCAUAUCAACAUAUGUCUGAUGGUCUGUCUGAGCACUAUGAAGAUGGGCUACACAGUGAGGACAAAGUUUCAUUUUCAUUCACCGCACAAAUUUUUUACAAAAGAAGAAAAUAUUAAAAGCCCAAGAAGAUCAAGUUUGUGUCCAAGGUUACUUAGGUCAUUCUCUAAGAACAAUAGUUUUUUUUCAAAGACAGACUCUACAUGACUGUCAUGCCUUGAUACUCAACUGAUGCCUUGGUUUUCCACUGUCGCCUUGAUUACCAUAAGUUAAUCUACAGAUCAAGACUAAAUGGUCAAUUAAACAUGAGGUCAAGGAAAAAGGAUGAACAUUUUAAGGCUACAGGAGGAACAUUAAACAUCUCUCUCACUGUGAAAAGAUUCUACUGAUCUACAAAUGGUCAACAUGUUUUAUCUAAAGUUCACUGCCAUUUCUUCAAAUGGAGCCAUAGUCAGAAUAAGGUUCAAAUGUAUCAGUUGUUUUUGUUGACAAAUAUCAAGGUACAGAAAUAAGAAUCUAAUUUAGAGUUUUUUAAAGCUUGAUUAGUCAUAAUAUUUGCACUAUUAUUUCCAAUAUGUGCCAGAGUGUCUGCUAAAUGUAACUAGUAUGAUUAAAAACAUGGUCAUUGCAAAGUCUAACAUAUGGACAAGUAGGAUUCUUGGGGCUUGAUUCAGUGAAAGAAUGUUGGACAAGCAGAAGUGUUAUGGAGUGUGUGUGUUUUUAUGGUGACUGUGGUAAGAGGUAAGCGAUUGGAUGUGAAUGAUGCAAAAGUGGCAUUGUCGUCACUGGGUCUUAGUUAGGGGAGAUGACUCCAGAAUGUAAGACUGAAAGGUUGUGUUAUUGUAGUGAGUUAGAUUGUAAGAAAUUUUAUUACUUAAGUCUACUACAUUUAUUUCAUGUGAUCACAAGUAUUAUAAAUGUUAUAUUUAGUUUCGUUCACUAGGAAGUUGUUCAAGUUCUUAUUAGCUAAGAUAUAUUAUGCCUUCAACAGUUUAGUUGCCUACCAGCAGUUUGGUGCUACAAGUCAACAACAGUCAGACUAAAUUAAAUAAAGCCAUGUCUAUUUCUACAUGAUUUUGUUGCUACUAACCUGGUGUUACUAACAACUAACUCGAAAAGGGAGAGGGCAAUUAUCAUCUUAUUCAUGUACUAUUUACAUUAGAUUUUUACCAAAUUAUUAAAUUUUUACUACCCUUACUAUUUUAACUGUGAAUAGACCUUGAUUUUAAUGAUUUAACUGUAUAGAAUUUAGCCCCUGUUAUGUAGAGAGAGAGAGUAGUCCUUAAGGGACUGCAGGCACGACAUGGCCUAAAUUGUGCAGAUGUGCAUAAAAUCAAAGAAAUAAAACAUUAACAAAAUGUGUAUUAUAAUUGUCACUUUUCCUCUACUUAGAAUUUUUUUCUCUCCUAGAUUUUCAUAAUUUUUUGUUGAAGUCAUUUCAGUUCUCAAUUAUUUUGUGCACCAAGUUACAAGAAAAAAUUUAAGCAAGAGAGGUCACUACACUAAGACUUUGUCUUCUCAUAAGAAAGGAUGGCUGCUUGGUCAUGUGAUAUGUGCACUGGACUGUGUAUGGUCAUCUUGAUGCUCAUAUCUUGCCUGAUGACAUUUAUUCUGCUGAACAUUUGGUCAAGGAAGUAGAUUCUCUUCAGCUCUCAAGAAACAUUCAAAACAUGUCAAACAUUCGACAAGAAUAUCAAGUGCAAUGUACAUACCAACAUGAUGAAAGGUAGACAACAUGAAGAUGUGGACCAACAUGAAGAUGUAGACCAACAUGAAGAUGUAGACCAACAUGAUAAAGAUGUGGACCAACAUGAUAUAGAUGUAGACCAGCAUGAUGAAGAUAGACCGACGUGAAGAUGAAAUGUAAACCAAAAUAUUGAUCAAGAAUAGGGAAUAAAAUGUGAACAUCUUGAGAAGGAAAACAAUUCCUAGAGGCAAAGACACAGACACAGUAGAUACAUUAGAGAUUGUUUCCUUUUCUACCAUCAUUUAGAGCCUUCCUUGUGCUCUAAGGGAACCUGCCAUUAUCUUUUGAUUGCUAAUUGUCUGUGAAGAUGUUUUUACAUUCCUACUGCGUCUGAAAGAAAUGAAUAUUUCCCUAAUGCUACUUCAAAACAAGACCUUCUCAAGACAAUCCUAGUUACCAAGCUACAAUACAGGACCCAGAAGGAAACAAUGAAGAAUCCUCCCAACCUCAAGUUGAGUACCCAUGCUCACCUACUAGAGUGGCGACACAUACUUCUCCUACGCCCACAGUUAUACAUUCUGAACCCUGUAACCCAACCUCACAUGGUUACAUUACUAGAAAUGGUCCUGAAGUUAGAAAAACUAACAGAUACAAUAAAUAGAACAAUCAUUUCUGAUACCAGGUACAACUAGUCAAGUGAUGUACUUUGUAAGAACUAAUUAGGUGGAAUUGCCAUAAUUUACUUGUAUCUUGUUCUAUAUUUAGGUAUAUCUUGACAAUCAGUCCAGUCAUUUGUUCAUUUUUUUAAAAAAUAUUCCUUUUUUUUCCCCUCAAUCUUCUUGUUUCAGUUCGUAAUGUUUUUAUAUUUUUUGUUUUCAGAGGAGGGAUGUUCUAUGGUAUAGUACCAUUAUUAUUAUUGUAUUAAGCAAACUUGUAUAUGUAUGUUUAUUCAUGAAUACUAGUGAAAAACAUCCAUUCUGGAUCAUCUACCGAAAAUGUUGUAAACACUAUAAAUGUCUUCAGUUAACCUUGGACAUUCUAAAGAGUCAUAACACCAAAGCCUUGCUACAUUAUGCUCAAUUCAAUUUAUUAUCUCCCCUGCUUUUGUGUGCUAUCAUAUUAAUGUUCAAUAGUGUCACAUCCAUGCACAAUUUGUUCUAUGCUUUUUAUAGUUUAAAUAGUGACUUGACAUUAUUUAUCUCUACUAAAAUAUUGUCAUAUUAUUAUAUUUAAAAUAAAACUGUUAAGAUUUACUAUGCUGUUAUUAUUAUGAAAGCUUUGCUGUGUUGCUAUAAAUGCAGUUUUGAGGUUUAGUCUAAGGGCAUCAUAGAUGAUAAAUUUUGUUACACUCACCUUAACAGUUAAAAAUAAAAUGUUCCAUAAAUAAAGAGUCUAUUAAUAUUUACUAUUUGGUAUUGACAGACUUCAUUAAAGCAUUGAGCUCAUCCCCUUAGUCUAUUUAAAACUUUAAAAUACUAAUUCACUUUGUCUUAUCUAAUGGUGAUCAUGGGGUAUCCACUUUGUCAUCUCCAUAGUCUCUGGUAUGAACACUCACUGUCCUGUUGGAGGUUAGGGCUAGGAUGUAAUCUCUAUUUCUGAUGGAACACAUGUAAAACCAACAGUAGACCUAGACUCUAUUAACAGGUCAUGCAAACAUUUAUUCUUAUCUGGCUCUCCCAUAGCUAUUUUUAUGUAUUUUUAUUUUUACUACUUUUGUAGGCUAGUGCUAAGCUGUAUACUUGUACUUCCCCCUAUUAUUAUAUGGGUUAGUGCAAUGCUGUUUCCUGUACUGUUGACUAGUGGUCUGUAUGUCAGUUUUAAUUAUUCUGUACCUGGGACUGCCUGUAAGUUUCAGAAUUAUUUUUCUUUUUUUAAUUUUACUAUGUGUAAAUCUAUUAUUUAUUUUUAGCAAUAUAUGUUACAUUAUUUUUCUAACUGGAACAACUGUCAAAAUAUUUGACAAUAUGUUUUUAAAAAUAUGGCCAAGCCCCGCCCUGUGAUGUCAUAAUGGCCACUUCUUAUGUUUAUGUACUAGAUUUUGUCCUUAUGUUUUUUUUAGCUGCAGUGUUUUGUAACUGCUGCUUUAGUCAUUUAAAUUAAAGUCUCAUUUUUUAAUAUUU